UAGUCCACGCCGUAAACGAUGUCUACUAGCCGUUGGGGAACUUGAUUCCUUAGUGGCGCAGCUAACGCACUAAGUAGACCGCCUGGGGAGUACGGCCGCAAGGUUAAAACUCAAAUGAAUUGACGGGGGCCCGCACAAGCGGUGGAGCAUGUGGUUUAAUUCGAUGCAACGCGAAGAACCUUACCAGGUCUUGACAUCCUGCGAAUUUUCUAGAGAUAGAUUAGUGCCUUCGGGAACGCAGUGACAGGUGCUGCAUGGCUGUCGUCAGCUCGUGUCGUGAGAUGUUGGGUUAAGUCCCGUAACGAGCGCAACCCUUGUCCUUAGUUGCCAGCACAUUAUGGUGGGAACUCUAAGGAGACUGCCGGUGACAAACCGGNGGAAGGUGGGACGACGUCAAGUCAUCAUGGCCCUUAUGGGUAGGGCUACACACGUGCUACAAUGGUCGGUACAAAGGGUUGCCAAGCCGCGAGGUGGAGCUAAUCUCAUAAAACCCGNUCGUAGUCCGGA
rnacentral:rRNA from 1 species